ACAUUUUACACAUGCUGAGUGUCUGGAGCCCUGCGUCAUAACAUGCAUAACAGCGUUACCCGCCAGAACCCGGAAACUUAUACAGGCUCAUGAUAGCUUUCUGGCGUGAAGCUCUGGGAUCCUGACAUUCCUAACGGACGUUCCUCAGCAAUGGGUUAAACCGCCUGGGAGAUAACCAUGGCAUUGACUCGGAGCCUGUUGAAAACUACAAUUGGAUCAUAAUCAACACUAAUGACUCUUUUGGAAAGAUGUUUCAAGACUUUGGCCAUGAGGUUUUGAACUGAUUUUACCUAUGGAGUCUCUGAAUGGAUCACUACAAAAGGAUCAGUUCCUGGAGCAGUAGACGUAGAUCAUUUUGGGAACAUUUUUAAACACAUCAAAGAGAGGUAGCGGUUAAUAAGAGAGGAAAUAAACACAAGACCGAAGAAGCCUUUGUAUCAUCAACGCUUAGUGGGAAUUUAAAAGCGGCGUGAAUUUCAUCACUUCAUCUGUCCGGCAGGUAUUCUAUGGGUGUUGAUACUCCUUGGAUGUGUUGCAGUCACGAGGCUUGUUGAGAAAACUACAUCGAUCAACUGUGCAUCAUCAACAGCACGCAACGGCAUCAACAGCUAUAGUACCGAUUGUACAUGGCCACAGAGAAGAAACUUAAGGAGUGAACUUAUGAGAUUCAAGAGAAAUCCAACGUUCAAGGACGCACUUCUCUACAAUAUCCCCCAAAAGAGGGACAAGUUUAGAAAAAAACUUGAAAGAGACUUUGGGGUGCUAUCGAUCAGACAACCUAGGACGACAUAUAUGUUUGAUGAUCCAACGAAAAGGUGCACGGGGUAUUGGCACGAAGACUAUUUCGACAUAUGUCGUAAAAUGGAUGUUUUGACGUACAGUAGGUGGCGAUAUCCGCGACGCAUGCAUGAAUACAAAUGUUGUCCAGCGCCGAAAGACCAGGGAGGCCAUUGCAGGCCCGUCACCAUUCCUAUACACGUCCUACAGGUCAUCGACAGACAUUGUCCGUGCGUUGUAUGGGAUUUCUAUUUUAAAACUGUAGGGUGUUCGUAUGAACCUGAUAAUUCAACAAGUUUCCGGAAUACGACCUAGGCUUGUGCACUCGAUAUAAAGACGUCUUGCCUUGUGGCUGAGCUGCUUAGUAGUAGGCCUAACAAUAGUGUUUGGAUGUAAUUAUUGGGAGCUUACAGUUGACAAGCUCAGAAGAAUCGAAAGGAACGAGUUUCCAGAAGGAUGUUUUUGUGUGACGUUGCUAAUGACACAUCUACAAUGUGAACUGUUUGUCAGAGGUCGACCUAAUGACUUAAAACCUCAGACUGAUAUAUCACAAUCGAUAUGUGAAUUGUGUUUCGUUCCAACACGCUGUACCCAGCCGAUACUACAGGUACAAUGUGCAACAGUUGCAUACCAUAUAACACUGCCUCACGACAACUAAUAUUCUACAAUGUCGUGAAUACUCCGAUACGUUCCCUGGUAGUGCAGGAAUUACGCCGACCAAACCACACGGUUAUUGCUCCCCCGAAGACACUGUGGCAAUAUCGACCCUGAUCGAUGAAUGGUCGAGAUUUAUCGUGCAUGCAAACGAACUCGCAAACCAAGAACGCCGGUGUUAGGUUGUUAGGUUGAUGAUGGACAUUUUAAGGAGCCACCUAUCACUGGAAUGACUAUUAAUUGCACUGGUUGACAUAACAUCUAUCGUAUGAGAGAAAGUUGAAGGGUAUUCAAGAUCGGACACAUCAUGUAAUAUAUUCGUGUGCUGGCUACCUAUAAGCCAAAUAAACGAGAGAUGCAAAUCUCAGCAGGUACGGGUUCCAUUGCAAGGGAUGUUAAGGUCCGAUAAAGUCACAUGAUACAAUAUCAAUUUUACGAAAAGGUAUUAGUGACACAUACCUUUGUGCUAAUUACCUAUACCUUCGUACAUAGUGGCCAAUUCUUCGGGCACAUCAACCAUGACACCCUUCAAUCAUUUACUAAAUCCUUGGCAAAGUGGGCACUUCGAUGGCUAGAGUACACAUAAGAUAACCAACGAAUAAAACUGUCGCUGAAUUUUAAUUCGCUGAAUCAAAUCUAACGUUAUAUGUCAGUUUAUAUCCACGUGCACAUGCACACGUAUGUCAGUAUGCCCCAACAUCAAUGUGCAGCUGCACACAUGCACCUCUUCACCUGCGUAUUGACACUCACAUUUAGGCAUACACAUAGAUACAUAUUCAUCAACCAAGCCCCAAACGUACACACAAACCUGUUUUUCAUGAUUUUGAAUAAGUGCAUAUCGUCCCUGUGAUUUUACUAAUUCAAACAUGCGUGCAACAAUAACACAAUGAAUCAGGGUGUUGGUCAUGGUGAACUACUUGAUUACUCCAGGUAAACAUUGAGUUGUAUCCUGGCACAUGUAUUUUACCACAAUGCUGUCUACACAGAGCUGCAAAGUUUUGUCAGUCAUACAUUCACUUUUGCAAGCAUGGAGAGUAUCGGUUUCGCGAAGUUCAAAUAUGAACGUAGACCUUGCGUUUGUGUUCAUUUAAACGUUCAGUUUGUUUGUACAAACACAUUGUAAUUUUACUGUAACAUAUAGGACAUCUCAUUUGCAGAUUGUUGCCCUCCAUAUAGCUGUUUCAUGUUACAAUGUUUUCUAUCAAGUGUGUAUUCCAUGAAAAAGGUGAAUAAUUUGCCGAAUAACUGUCUCAUUUCAUGUUAUUGUUUCCAAUAAAAGAUGUUUAAGGAA
rnacentral:lncRNA from 1 species